rnacentral:misc_RNA from 1 species
AGCCUUAAUCUCAAACUAGUUGAGCCUUAUCCAUUAUCAUGUUAUCAAACAUCCAUCUUAACAUCUGAAUUUCCGCCACACUCAUCUUAUAGGUAUGUUGUAAAGAAAAUCAAAUAAGCAAAAAAUUAAAGGAUUUCUUUUUUAAAAUCCAUUCUUUUACUUUGUUGUGUUGCAUGAACAACAAUAACUAUGUUGUGUUGCAUGAACAACAAUAACUA